AGCCUUCUGUAUCCGUGCUGAGAUUUCGUCACAUAUCAGACCACAAGGG
rfam:Schistosoma rodhaini strain Burundi genome assembly, scaffold: SROB_scaffold0005172